AGUGGCGGUUCCCAACCUCCAUGUGAGUGGCACCGUUUCAUGAUCUGGGCGCUGAGCUGUAUGAGUGGAGAAAAAGUGAGUUGAGCAAAAAGGAAACUGGGUAGUUAUGGUCAUUACUGAGGAUGUUUGUGUGAGCAUGCAAGAACCACUGUCCACCAGUACAGUGACAAUCUUGGUGGUGGCAUGGAAGAAAGGAAUGUGUGUCUGAGAGUGAGGAACAGUGAAUUGGUGGGUAGGCUUAUGAACCACAAUUGCACAGCUCACAGACUGUUGCUGAAGCAGGCAAAGGUGGCCAGCUAUGUUGGA